rnacentral:rRNA from 1 species
CCUACGGGCGGCAGCAGUGAGGAAUAUUGGUCAAUGGGCGCAAGCCUGAACCAGCCAAGCCGCGUGAAGGACGAAGGUGCCAAGCAUUGUAAACUUCUUUUGUCAAGGGACAAAAUCAGGCUCGAGAGCCUGACCGAGGGUACUUGAAGAAAAAGCAUCGGCUAACUCCGUGCCAGCAGCCGCGGUAAUACGGAGGAUGCGAGCGUUAUCCGGAUUUAUUGGGUUUAAAGGGUGCGUAGGCGGGCUGUUAAGUCAGCGGUAAAAGCCCGGGGCUCAACCCCGGCGAGCCGUUGAAACUGGCUGUCUUGAGAUGUCGAGAGGUAUGCGGAAUGCGCAGUGUAGCGGUGAAAUGCUUAGAUAUUGCGCAGAACUCCGAUUGCGAAGGCAGCAUACCGGCGGCGAUCUGACGCUGAGGCACGAAAGCGUGGGUAUCGAACAGGAUUAGAUACCCGGGUAGUC